rnacentral:rRNA from 1 species
UACGUAGGGUGCAGGCGUUAAUCGGAAUUACUGGGCGUAAAGCGUGCGCAGGCGGUUUGCUAAGACAGGUGUGAAAUCCCCGGGCUUAACCUGGGAACUGCGCUUGUUACUGGCAGGCUUGAGUGUGGCAGAGGGGGGUGGAAUUCCGCGUGUAGCAGUGAAAUGCGUAGAGAUGCGGAGGAACACCGAUGGCGAAGGCAGCCCCCUGGGUUAACACUGACGCUCAGGCACGAAAGCGUGGGGAGCAAACAGG